UUGCUUUUGCUGAAACAUCCAUCGCACCUUGAUUCGGUUAAGGAGUUGUUUGGCACGCAGAGGUAUGGCUCUUGACUUAUAAUCACUUCUCCUACAAAUUAAAGCUUCUUUUAGAAUCUCUUUAUGCAAUUUUAACUAAAAAGGAAUCAUCUAAAAAAGAAAGUAUCACAUUACGUAUGCAAUUGAUAGAUUAAUAGAUGAAACUUAGCAGAUUUUUGUCUUUUUUUUUUCGAAAAAACGGUGGAAAGAAGAAAACCUGGAUAGAAAUCCCUGGCAGCGAGGAGGGAACGGCCUUUAUCGUGGAAAGUUGAAAGGGUUAAGCCUCGAGGUUGAAGAGAAGCCUGUAAUUCCUCCAUUAACAAGCAAAGCCAGAACUAGUAAGCUCUGGAAGGUUUUUGCUUUAGACUAAUGAAAGACUAAUCCUCGGCGUCCGAUUUUCGUAAACAAGUUGAAAGUUAAACGUGGUGGAAAAAAAAAUGAAAACGGCACUCUCAUUGCUCUUCAAAAGUCAUUUUGGAUAAAAAUGACAUCUUUUAGCUUUAUUUGUUCUCUAAUAUAUUUUAUUUAAUUUUUAUGUUAAGCAUAUAAUUAUUUUUCUCUUGAAAUUUAUUUAAAAUAUAUAAAAUUAUAAAUUAAAAUUUAUAAUUAAAAUAUAAAUAGUAUUAACUAAUCUAUUCUCAGGUAAAAAUUUCAUCAUCGAUGGGAGAGUUGCAAUUGUUUAUUUUUUACUGGAGUCAAAAAUAGUGGUUUCAAAACUCCAUUUUCGACAAGUGAGCUCGAAAUAAUAUUUACGUGGUUAGUAUAUAUUUUAAUUAAAUUUUUAUCCUUUAAUUUUAUUGAAUUGAUAAUUAAUUAAGGUAUAAGGAUUAAAUUGUAAAAGUGAUAAAUGUUAAUUAUUAUAAAUUUUUAAUGGCUAAAGGAUUAAGAUGAGAAUUAAACCAAAGUCUAAAUUAACAAUUUAGCCGCUUAAUGAUAUAGUGCCCGAUUUGAUGGAGUAAUUUUUAUGAAAUAAUGUUUAAAAUCAAAAUUAAAUAAAAUAUGUUUGAAAUAUUAAUUAAAACAAAUAGGUGAUAGUGGAAGGAGAGAAAAAACAAUUGUUCAUCUUCAUCUCUUCCGAAGAUUGCUUCAUUGAAGAGAAGUUCUCAAGGGUUUAAAGCUUUUGGCUCUUAAUUAGGUAACUCAAUUUAGUCUUUUUUCGGUAUACUUUUAUUUUUUUGAGGUUUCGAGUUCAAAAUUGUUAAAGUUUUUAAAUAUUUUCAUUGAUGAGUGUUUGAUAAAAUUGGUGUUACUUGGUUAAAUUUGAUGCUUAGAUAUGAAAACAAACUAGUUUGUAAAAUGAAAAUUGUUCGUUUUGGACUUAAGAACUAAAGUGUAAAUAUUUCAAAAUUGAAAUAAAAUUUCUAUAAUUAUAUAUAAUAGAGGAUUAUAGAAGGAUUAAAUUGAGACCAGUUUCGAAAUCAAAGCUCAAAUUCGAAAGUUAUAGUAAUUUUAGUGUUAGGGGCUAAAUUGAAUAAAAUGAAAAACUUGAAGGAAUAUUCGAUAAAUGAAAUUGAAUUGAUACAUAACUAUAGUAUGUUGUUCAUUGAUGUUUGGAAUUGAUAAUUUAAUUUAAUUAUGAUAUAGAUUGAGAUUUAAACCAAUUGGAAGAUAACCGCGAAAAGGAGAAAAUUGUGAAUUAGUCCCUAACAUCUUAUCAAUUGUUGUUUUUUCCAGGUAAGUUCGUAUGGUGUAAUUAUGUUUUGAUCCUUAUGUAUAUUAUAUAGUGAAUAUAUAUAAGUUCUAGUGAACUUUGAAUUGUUUGCAAUUUAGUACUAAAGGGUGAAAUUGGGAUUAAAUUGAAAAGUAAUAAAAAUGAACUUACAUGAUGGAAAUUACCCUGACAAAACUUUGUAAAUGUAUCGUACACAUGGUUACAGGUUGAUUUUUGAUGAUUCCGAGAUCCAGCAUUUGUUGCAGACUUAAACAUACAUGUGACAUAGGUUUAGGUCGGACGAGUAACCUAAUGUCGUUUUAUAGGUUUAGCUUAGACGGGUAACCUUACAUGCAUAUACAACCCUGUCCAGACUAUUUGAUGUUUCCAUAAAAGGUUUAGCCCAUAUAGGUAACCUAACAUAAACAUAUAUGUUUAGCUUAGAUGAGCAUCAGAUGUGAUUAGUACUUGUGUAUUUGAGUUCUUUUACGAUGUUUCAUCGAGUAACUUACAAGAUACCAAAUAUGGAAAUUGAACAUGUAAAGUGCUUAAUGAUCAAAGGUAGCAAAGUGGAGGAUUUAAUGACAAGUUGAGUAUAUACAUAUGAUUGAGUUAAGGUUAAAUUGGAUUUAGAAGAUAUGAAAUGUUAUGCUUGUACUUGAUGUGUUAUAUGAUUGAAUGUGAAUCAAGCUCACCUUAUUGUGAUUAUGUUUUGAUGUGUUAGGUAAAUUUGAUUAUACACAUUAGUUUAACAUAUGUAUUUGUUAUAUGAGGUAAGUUAAUUGUUUAUAUACAUAUGAGCUUACUAAGCAUUUUGUAAUGCUCACCUUAUUGCUUUUAUUUUCCUGUAGAUUUUGACUUGUAGAACAUGUCGGUCAGAUCCUCAAGGAGCUCACACUAUCCAUCUCCUGAUUUGAUAUAUUUUUUAUCAUUUAAACUCGGUUAUAUGUGGCAUGUACUUAGGGUUGUAAUGUUACCUUGUAAUGCCAAGUUUGAUUUAGAACUUUACUUGUUAUUGAACUUAUAAUGUGAAUGGCAAAUGGUAUAUGUGCACAAAU
rnacentral:lncRNA from 1 species